GACCAUAUCCCCUCCCAUGGAAAAAGCUGUGAUAUGAUUGCUUCACAACUCCAGGAUAUUUUUUGUCUACUUCACAUGAGGAGGAAAUUGAGCCUAAGAGAAAUAAGAAGUACUUCUUAUUUCAAGGUCACACGCCACCUCUGAGCGACAGAGUCUGAGUUGGAACCCCCUCUCCUUGCUUCCUGCCUGGUGUUCAUCCCAAGGUGCCACAUGGACUCCAUCAUGAAAACAUGGGCUCUAAUACCUCCCUGUCAGUGCUAACGGCUCUUCUCUGAACCUCAAGAACGGAAAGCCCGAGUACUACAAUUCACAGAUUCCCUGGCUAAAUUCCACCAUUGAAAGAAAUUGACGUAAGCUUUGGAAGACAAAAGAGAAGAAAAGCAUCUUCUCCAGCUUCAGCAGACACAUAAGCCUUGGAAGCAAGCAGACAGCAGAUGUGGACUUUUGCCCAUGAUUUACAAGGCUACAGGCAGCCCAGACCAUAGCUGGUGGUUUCCAGCAAUCUCUGAAAUUUACAUUUCUUGAAAGCAUUCUCACCUUUGGUCUCCAGACUCCAAUCUUUACAUAGACCUCCAAUUCCCCACAUGAAACCUCUUCCAUCUUGAAAUACUUAAAAUGUCUUCCAUUUUCCUAACUAAAUACUGACUAGAACAGUGACAAAGUGAAUCCCCACUUUUCAGGUUUGCUUUGGCUCUGAGUAUUGCCUGCAGGAGCUCUGCAGCAAGCAAGGCCCUCCACGUUCUCAGCUCCAUCCAUACUCCAGCC
rnacentral:lncRNA from 1 species